AGAGUUUGAUCCUGGCUCAGGACGAACGCUGGCGGCGUGCUUCAUACAUGCAAGUCGAACGAGGUCCAGCCGGUGGUAACACCGGCGAAGACCGAGUGGCGAACGGGUGCGUAACACGUGAGCAACCUGCCCCGAAGAUCGGGAUAACAGCGGGAAACCGCUGCUAAUACCGGAUGCCCCCACCGGGUCGCAUGGCCUGG
rnacentral:rRNA from 1 species